rnacentral:rRNA from 1 species
GGCGAACGGGUGAGUAAUACGUGAGUAACCUGCCCCCUUCUUUGGGAUAAGCCUGGGAAACUGGGUCUAAUACUGAAUAUUCUGCGUCUGCCGCAUGGUGGGUGUUGGAAAGGUUUUUUCUGGUGGGGGAUGGGCUCGCGGCCUAUCAGCUUGUUGGUGGGGUGAUGGCCUACCAAGGCGUCGACGGGUAGCCGGCCUGAGAGGGUGACCGGCCACAUUGGGACUGAGAUACGGCCCAGACUCCUACGGGAGGCAGCAGUGGGGAAUAUUGCACAAUGGACGCAAGUCUGAUGCAGCGACGCCGCGUGGGGGAUGAAGGCUUUCGGGUUGUAAACUCCUUUUAACACUGAAGAAGCGUUGAGUGACGGUAGGUGUUGAAUAAGCGCCGGCUAACUACGUGCCAGCAGCCGCGGUAAUACGUAGGGCGCGAGCGUUGUCCGGAAUCACUGG